AAACUAAUUUCAAAAUUGCGCUUCCUCAGUAAGCCCUAUUCAAAAUUUCAUCCCUUUUCUGUUUCUCCCUUGUUCACAAAUCAAAGAAGAAAUCAGACUUGUAUUUCUCUUCCUCGCCGCCGCCGAUCUCUCCUCUCACUGCGGCCGGCAUGGAGUUUCCGAUGGGCGAAGCCGGCGGCGCUUCGCGCCUAAUUGCUCCAUCACUCUCUCAAUUCGAAUUUCAACAUUCCAACUCCAAUUCAAACUCUCUUAAUUCGAAUCUGGAGCCCUAGUCCCGCUAUUCUUCUUUCUCGAUCUCUCAGUGCGGCUCAGUUUUGGCAUAGAUUUGCUACUCUUGCAACACAUAUGGAGCAUUACAUACAAGGACAAUGGAGGGAUCUGGUUGACCGGGCUUACACAAAGUUUUCCUUCUCCGCCAAUGCAAACCUCACUCAAGAUUCCCCUCUCUCCUUGGUUUACCCUAGCUGGUGGCGAUAUAUUGUUUUGUGAGAUAGAGCUCAGGUUGAGCAGCUGAUAUAUUGUUGAGGAACCCUAGAGGAUACAAAUAGCAAAAGUACCUUCAGUUUCCAAAUGUCACAGGUUUUACUUGGAAAAUGACAUCUCAAGAGCAAAAAGAUGAGUAUUAUCAAGAAUUUCGAGCAAUUUUGGAAGGAAUGGUUCCGGUGCCAACCCUAACUUGAGAAGUUGUUGUAAAGGUUUGUUUAAAUUUACUUCCUUUUAAAGUAAACAAGUACGAAAAAGGAACAUAGUCAUAGCAACUCGGUUCCAUUUUUUAUCUGUUCGUGUGCCUUUCUUCUCUUGGUGUGUCUAGGUUGGAAUGGUCUGGCAGGGUUCUGUAGUUUCUGGUAUGAGCGAUUUGCUAUAAUCUACUAUCUUUCGUACUGUCAUUUUACUACUGAAGUUCAUUAUAUGUAGGUACACCCUAGCACACAACAUGGACAGAAGGUUGUUUUGAAGAAAAAAGGGAGCUACUGCUGCUGAACAUGGAGCAAGUUCACGAUUCUCUGGCCUCAAUAGUAGUCUACAAGCAGUCUAAGGGGAUAAUGUCGACUGAAUGGAGCUGAGCGAGGGGCAAGCUUGGAUGAAGGAAAAUCUGGCACAGGGAAUGGCGUUGCUUCAGAGCUCGUACGAGAAUCUUGGAGACAAAAUUAUCAGCUGGGAAAUGAAGCAGCUGAGAUAGAGGUCGAGAUUGGGAAGGUUGGGGAUGCAUUGUCGUCGAGGAUGACUGUCUUGCAGAGUAAAGCAGCUGAUAUAGGGAAUAUGGUUGAGACGUCGUUGGAUAAAAAAAAUAGCUUUUGAAUGGGCAGUCUGUAGCUCUCGUUGUAUUUUCUUUUGAACAUCAUACAACUAUACAUUUCAUACUUUUGUUACUUGUUUUAACAACUAACAUUUAUGCCUAUUCAUUAUAAUUUUUGGAUUUAA